rnacentral:tRNA from 1 species
AGCUUUACAAUCUUUGAUAGAUAUUAAAUUGCAAAUUUAAAUAAAAUUUUUUAAUUUAAAGCUU